GCUGGCAUAGCUCAGUCGGUAGAGCAGCUGAUUCGUAAUCAGCAGGUCGUGUGUUCGAGUCACAUUGCCAGCUCCA
rnacentral:tRNA from 11 species